rnacentral:rRNA from 1 species
GACGAACGCUGGCGGCGUGCUUAACACAUGCAAGUCGAACGGAAAGGCCCUGCUUUUGUGGGGUGCUCGAGUGGCGAAGGGGUGAGUAACACGUGAGUAACCUGCCCUUGACUGUGGGAUAACUUCAGGGAACUGGGGCGAAUACAGGAUAGGAGCUCCUGCUGCAUGGGGGGGGUUGGAAAGUGUCGGCGGUUGGGGAUGGACUCGCGGGUUAUGAGCUUGUUGGUGGGGUAGUGGCGUACCAAGGCUUUGACGGGUAGCAGGCCUGAGAGGGUGACCGGCCACAUUGGGACUGCGGGACGGCCCAGACUCCUACGGGCGGCAGCAGUGGGGAAUAUUGCACAGUGGGCGGAAGCCUGAUGCAGCAACGCCGCGUGCGGGAUGACGGCUUUCGAGUUGUAAACCGCUUUCGCCUGUGACGAAGCGUUAUUGACGGUAAUGGGUAAAGAAGCACCGGCUAACUACGUG